rnacentral:rRNA from 1 species
UACGUAGGGGGCGAGCGUUACCCGGAUUUACUGGGCGUAAAGGGCGUGUAGGUGGCUCGGUUAGUCGUUUGUGAAAGACCUCAGCUUAACUGAGGAAGUGCUGACGAAACCACCGGGCUAGAGGACAGUAGAGGCGAGUGGAAUUCCCGGCGGAGCGGUGAAAUGCGUAGAUUUCGGGAGGAACACCAGUGGCGAAGGCGGCUCGCUGGGCUGUACCUGACACUAAGGCGCGAAAGCAUGGGGAGCAAAC